rnacentral:rRNA from 1 species
UGACCGGCCACACUGGGACUGAGACACGGCCCAGACUCCUACGGGAGGCAGCAGUGGGGAAUAUUGCACAAUGGGCGAAAGCCUGAUGCAGCCAACGCCGCGUGAGGGAUGACGGCCUGGUUGUAACUCUUUAUAGGGAGAAGCGAAGUGACGGUACCCUGCAGAAAAGCAACCGGCUAACUACGUGCCAGCCAGCCGCGGUAGACGAGGAUGCAAGCGUUAUCCGGAAUGAUUGGGCGUAAAGCGUCCGCAGGUGGCAGUUCAAGUCUGCUGUCAAAGACCGGGGCUUAACUUCGGAAAGGCAGU